UACGUAGGGGGCUAGCGUUGUCCGGAUUUAUUGGGCGUAAAGAGCGUGUAGGCGCCAGGUAGGUCCGCUGUGAAAGUCCGAGGCUCAACCUCGGAAUGUCGGCGGAAACCCUCUGGCUAGAGUCCGGAAGAGGAGAGUGGAAUUCCCGGUGUAGCGGUGAAAUGCGCAGAUAUCGGGAAGAACACCCGUGGCGAAGGCGGCUCUCUGGAACGGUACUGACGCUGAGACGCGAAAGCCGUGGGGAGCGAACAGG
rnacentral:rRNA from 1 species